rnacentral:rRNA from 1 species
CGAUACAUAGGGGGACUGAGAGGUUAACCCCCCACACUGGUACUGAGACACGGACCAGACUCCUACGGGAGGCAGCAGUGAGGAAUAUUGGUCAAUGGACGCAAGUCUGAACCAGCCAUGCCGCGUGCAGGAUGACGGCUCUAUGAGUUGUAAACUGCUUUUGUACGAGGGUAAACGCAGAUACGUGUAUCUGUCUGAAAGUAUCGUACGAAUAAGGAUCGGCUAACUCCGUGCCAGCAGCCGCGGUAAUACGGAGGAUUCAAGCGUUAUCCGGAUUUAUUGGGUUUAAAGGGUGCGUAGGCGGUUUGAUAAGUUAGAGGUGAAAUCCCGGGGCUUAACUCCGGAACUGCCUCUAAUACUGUUAGACUAGAGAGUAGUUGCGGUAGGCGGAAUGUAUGGUGUAGCGGUGAAAUGCUUAGAGAUCAUACAGAACACCGAUUGCGAAGGCAGCUUACCAAACUAUAUCUGACGUUGAGGCACGAAAGCGUGGGGAGCAAACAGGAUUAGAUACCCUGGUAGUCCACGCAGUAAACGAUGAUAACUCGUUGUCGGCGAUACACAGUCGGUGACUAAGCGAAAGCGAUAAGUUAUCCACCUGGGGAGUACGUUCGCAAGAAUGAAACUCAAAGGAAUUGACGGGGGCCCGCACAAGCGGAGGAACAUGUGGUUUAAUUCGAUGAUACGCGAGGAACCUUACCCGGGCUUGAAAGUUACUGACGAUUCUGGAAACAGGAUUUCCCUUCGGGGCAGGAAACUAGGUGCUGCAUGGUUGUCGUCAGCUCGUGCCGUGAGGUGUCGGGUUAAGUCCCAUAACGAGCGCAACCCCUACCGUUAGUUGCCAUCAGGUCAAGCUGGGCACUCUGGCGGGACUGCCGGUGUAAGCCGAGAGGAAGGUGGGGAUGACGUCAAAUCAGCACGGCCCUUACGUCCGGGGCUACACA